GACGAACGCUGGCGGCGUGCUUAACACAUACAAGUCGAACGGAAAGGCCCUGCUUUUGUGGGGUGCUCGAGUGGCGAACGGGUGAGUAACACGUGAGUAACCUGCCCUUGACUUUGGGAUAACUUCAGGAAACUGGGGCUAAUACCGGAUAGGAGCUCCUGCUGCAUGGUGGGGGUUGGAAAGUUUCGGCGGUUGGGGAUGGACUCGCGGCUUAUCAGCUUGUUGGUGGGGUAGUGGCUUACCAAGGCUUUGACGGGUAGCCGGCCUGAGAGGGUGACCGGCCACAUUGGGACUGAGAUACGGCCCAGACUCCUACGGGAGGCAGCAGUGGGGAAUAUUGCACAAUGGGCGGAAGCCUGAUGCAGCAACGCCGCGUGCGGGAUGACGGCCUUUGGGUUGUAAACCGCUUUCGCCUGUGACGAAGCGUGAGUGACGGUAAUGGGUAAAGAAGCACCGGCUAACUACGUG
rnacentral:rRNA from 1 species